rnacentral:lncRNA from 1 species
AGGUUUUGGAAAGUUUCAUAGCAAACUUUCGCUUCUUCUUCCUCAUGAGUAACCUUCAUAUUUUUCAUCUUUGAGUUUUCCAAAUUGUUUCUUUUUGAAAACUGCAUUUGAAAUAUGAAAACUUCAUCUUGCUAGAUCAAACACUCUAUCAUAUACAUCUAGGUCAGAUUCAAGAUUAAUUUCUUCAAGAGUAUGGUUUCUUGAAGAAAUUGGUCAUUUUCUCCAUGAAUCCAAAUUUCAUUUUUG